rnacentral:pre_miRNA from 1 species
GGAUGUUAAGAAACUGUUUCUUAACUUUUAAUUAAAAAAACUAAGAACCGGUUCUUAAAUAAAGACUUUAAAAACCGAUUCUUAGCUUUUUUUAGUUAAAAGUAAAAAAACAGUUUUUUAAUUUCC